UACGAAGGGAGCUAGCGUUGUUCGGAAUUACUGGGCGUAAAGGGCGCGUAGGCGGCUUCAACAGUUGGGCGUGAAAUGCCUGGGCUUAACCCAGGAAUUGCGCUCAAUACUGCGAGGCUCGAGUGUGGGAGAGGAUAGUGGAAUUCCCAGUGUAGAGGUGAAAUUCGUAGAUAUUGGGAAGAACACCAGCGGCGAAGGCGGCUAUCUGGGACCACAACUGACGCUGAGGCGCGAAAGCGUGGGGAGCAAACAGG
rnacentral:rRNA from 1 species